AGUCUUGUAAUUAAAAAAAUAAUAUUAAAUUGCAAAUUUAAUUUUAAGGAUUAUUAGCCUUUAAGGCUU
rnacentral:tRNA from 1 species